GCGACGUCCGUGCCAGUGACUGGGGUAGUACGUGGGGUUGAAGCGUUAUCCGGAUGUACUGUGUUUAAAGGGUGCGUAGGCGGCUCUUGAAGUCAGUGGUGAAAGCCUAGUGCUUAACACUAGAAUUGCCAUUGAAACUGAAGAGCUUGAGUCAAGGAGAGGUAAGCAGAAUUUAUGGUGUAGCAGUGAAAUGCUUAGAUACCAUAAGGAAUACCAAUAGCGAAGGCAGCUUACUGGCCUUGCACUGACGCUGAGGCACGAAAGCGUGGGGAGCAAACAGGAUUAGAUACCCGUGUAGUC
rnacentral:rRNA from 1 species